UACGAAGGGGGCUAGCGUUGUUCGGAAUUACUGGGCGUAAAGCGUGCGCAGGCGGCUUCUCAAGUCAGGGGUGAAAGCCCAGAGCUCAACUCUGGAAUUGCCUUUGAUACUGAAGAUCUUGAGUUCGGGAGAGGUGAGUGGAACUGCGAGUGUAGAGGUGAAAUUCGUAGAUAUUCGCAAGAACACCAGUGGCGAAGGCGGCUCACUGGCCCGAUACUGACCGCUGAGGCACGAAAGCGUGGGGAGCAAAUAGG
rnacentral:rRNA from 1 species